AGGAAACUAUUAGUGCCAGAAAACCAGCCACCGCCGCCUCUAGCACCAUCCGGUGCCCGUGCUGCAAGUACAGUCAUAACCCCUGUGGAGGGGGAUCCGACCCCAUGGAGAACGCAGGGGCUGACGAGCUGCGUUUAAGUAUGCUUUGCUGGUGCUUUUAGCUAUUUCAAAAGACACAAGAAGUGGCCCGACAUCACUUGGCCAUAGGCUGCUCUUCCUCAUCUCAAUGAGCAUAGCUCUUGGAACGCUGGCUCCGCCAAAAACUAGCCAUAAAGUUCAAAGUAAAGUUUUUAAACCAUG